rnacentral:tRNA from 1 species
GGCUGCCGUUCGCGGUCGGCGCCGCCGUCGGCCGCCCGGACCGGCCGGUGGUCGCCUUCGAGGGCGACGGCAGCCU